rnacentral:rRNA from 1 species
UACGGAGGGGGCAAGCGUUGUUCGGAAUUACUGGGCGUAAAGGGCGCGCAGGCGGCUGCUCAAGUCAGGCGUGAAAGGCCUGGGCUCAACCCGGGAAUUGCGCUUGAGACUGGGCUGGCUUGAGUGCGGGAGAGGAUGGUGGAAUUCCCAGUGUAGAGGUGAAAUUCGUAGAUAUCUGGAGGAACACCGGUGGCGAAGGCGGCGUUCUGGACUGCAACUGACACUGAGGAACGAAAGCCAGGGGAGCAAACGGG